GCAUAUCAAUAAGCGGAGGAAAAGAAACCAACAGGGAUUGCCCUAGUAACGGCGAGUGAAGCGGCAACAGCUCAAAUUUGAAAUCUGGCUCUUUCAGAGUCCGAGUUGUAAUUUGCAGAGGGCGCUUUGGCUUUGGCAGCGGUCCAAGUUCCUUGGAACAGGACGUCACAGAGGGUGAGAAUCCCGUACGUGGUCGCUAGCUAUUGCCGUGUAAAGCCCCUUCGACGAGUCGAGUUGUUUGGGAAUGCAGCUCUAAAUGGGAGGUAAAUUUCUUCUAAAGCUAAAUAUUGGCCAGAGACCGAUAGCGCACAAGUAGAGUGAUCGAAAGAUGAAAAGCACUUUGGAAAGAGAGUCAAACAGCACGUGAAAUUGUUGAAAGGGAAGCGCUUGCAGCCAGACUUGCUUGCAGUUGCUCAUCCGGGCUUUUGCCCGGUGCACUCUUCUGCAGGCAGGCCAGCAUCAGUUUGGGCGGUGGGAUAAAGGUCUCUGUCACGUACCUUCCUUCGGGUUGGCCUUAUAGGGGAGACGCCAUACCACCAGCCUGGACUGAGGUCCGCGCAUCUGCUAGGAUGCUGGCGUAAUGGCUGUAAGCGGCCCGUCUUGAAACACGGACCAAGGAGUCUAACAUCUAUGCGAGUGUUUGGGUGUCAAGCCCGAGCGCGUAAUGAAAGUGAACGGAGGUGGGAACCCGCAAGGGUGCACCAUCGACCGAUCCUGAAGUUUACGGAAGGAUUUGAGUAAGAGCAUGGCUGUUGGGACCCGAAAGAUGGUGAACUAUGCUUGAAUAGGGUGAAGCCAGAGGAAACUCUGGUGGAGGCUCGCAGCGGUUCUGACGUGCAAAUCGAUCGUCAAAUUUGGGCAUAGGGGCGAAAGACUAAUCGAACUAUCUAGUAGCUGGUUCCUGCCGAA
rnacentral:rRNA from 1 species